UGAGGAACUCGCUUGCUUGGGGUUUAUUAAAAGGCUGAACUACGUGAUUUUAGAUAAAGACGUCAACAGUUAACAACCUGAGGCACAGAAAUGGGAAAGGUCUUGAAGACAAGCACAACAGUGUGACUUGAAAUACAGUCAUUAUAAUUCCAAAAGUCUGAGAUCAACACUCAGGAAACCAGAAGCCCACACCGAAUUUUAGUCAGUGCCUAUCAACUAGUUAACAUAAAACUGCUGCAGCAAAAAUGAAAUCUAAGAAGAGUUUAACACUAAAACUUUAAAAUAUCCCCAGAGUUGCUGCAAUCACCUUAUACAACAGGAUUUGCCAUAAACUUCAGAAAAGCUUAAUAGAAGGAAAGCUUUGUUGAAUUAGUGAUUUGGCAAACUGAUCAUUUCAUGAAUUGCUCAAUAGGGAAAGUGGAUUUUGGUGAACUGACUUUCAGAGAGGUUAUUUUUGGAGAAAUAACAACUCAAGGAAUGGGUGCUUUAGAAAGUUAUUUUUUUGGUUAACUGACCUGCUUCUGAUCACCAGAAUAUAAGCCAUGGAAACCUUCCGGCUGACUUCAAGACUCAAAUUCUAGCCUCUUUACAUACUGUUUCCAAUUAACCACAUAACCAUUGGCAAAAAAGUAGAAAGAUUUUUGAAGUUCUCAAAACCCAGAGAAGAGAAAUGUGGACUGAAAGUUUUAGACCACUGAAGAAGUUCCCUUUUAAAAUGUAUUAAAAUAAGUAUAGUGAAUAAAAUCUCAUACUUGAGUUCAAUGCAAAUCAUGUACAAUUCGUUCCAACAGAAGAGUGAGAUCCAGUGAUUUUGACUAGUGAGAAAGAGCUCCCCUUGAUACCAAGAACUUUAAUUUGAGCAAGACUUGAACAUUUAUAUUCAUAUCAUGUGGAUCUGUCUGGCCAAAGUUAAUUUGAGCAUGUCACUUUAUUCCCUGCACAGAAUAUCUAAAGCUUUAAGGCAUAUUCAGAGAGCCUUUUUUUUUUUUUUUGCCUUGAAACACAAACACUUACACAACGCUCUCAUUAACUGGAACUUUCACAUCUCCACUGAAGUGAAAACAGGACCUAAAGCUCUGUCCUACCUAGUGUAUGUCAAAUAACACAGAUUAGAGAGGGUGUAUUUGACAAAGGCAUUUUACUCAGGCAUUUGAAGGAAAGAGUUAGACGAGUCACAAACCUGCAUAGCCAUGAAAUAAAAAUAACUGCAGUGAUGUUUAAAAGAUAUCCUAAAAUGAAAAAAUUUUUAAAUAUUCAAUAAAGGCAAAAUUUUGCCUAUGAGUCAUCUGA